CCAAAGCAUUUAUUAAUUUUAGUUUCUGAUCAUUUUAACUUACUUAACAACAUACAACCUUAUUGUAAAGUGUUACCAAUGUAUUUAUACUGCACAUCUGCAUAUCUACAAAGCAUUCUUCAUCAUUUGUCCAAAAGUUUCUCAUCACACAGUUCCCAAAUUCACACAUAACCAUUGUAAGCAUGCAAGACUCCUGGCAGUAAGGGAACGCUAUGGCUUUAGCGCUCUAACAAGACAAUUGUCUGUGAAAUGUGACUCUGUGUUUCUUUGAUAACAGAGCUCCUGCUGGCUCUCUGGUGCAUAACAACACACAAUCAGUGAGAGGAAUUGUAUUGUGGUUGUUCUUGAGACAAGGCCGGGUGAAACCGAGAGAACAGAGGUUUGUGCUCAAGUCCCUCGGAAGUCUGAUCUAGGAUCAGAUUUCCCCUUUGUCAUGGCUGAGGGGCUCCGACCGAAUUCAUUUCUGCUCAGAGGAUUCGGAAACCAGAGUGAUGCAACCGAAUGGUCCGCGUUUAACCCGGCUGAUUCUUGCGACGGGCAAGAAAACCAAUAUGAACAUGAAUAGAAAACAAGAAAGUCCAAUGGGUUUGAUGCGACACAAGCAUGCAUAAAUGAUGACUGAAUGUUAGUUUAAGAGUAAACUAUGCUAUUAACUGUUAUUACUCAAAGCGCAAACCAAUAAAGCAAUGCCAAGUUUCACCAAUG